rnacentral:lncRNA from 1 species
ACAUAAUUGUUAUCUUAAUUGAUAUGUUAGACAUAUCACACGACCCUUUUGAUAGUUAUCUGAGGUUAUAUUGUUUAUCUUAAAGAGACAACAAUUAUUUCCAAUACUGGCCUUUGGUAUCUGCAUUAAAGAGCUCCAUUUUCUUACUCCAUUUUGUUAUCAACUUGGUGAAUUUCAAGAUUGUGAAUCCACCUUAAAUUAUUAGUGUCUAAAUUUUGACAUUUUAGACAACCUCCAAUUUGGUGGCUUGACUUUUGACAAAAAAAAUAAAAUUCUUCUUGUACCAAUAUUUAUCGUCUCUAUCAUGCAAAUGAUCUUUGUAGGGUAUUAAUCUCCAACAUUGAUUGUUAUACCAUAGUAUUAGAUAACAACAUAGGACUUUACACUAUAUAUCCUACUCCACAAUUUUUAAAAUCUAUAGCAUUAGCCUUCUCUGCAAUCCUAAUUUCCUCUUGAAAUGUUUGUAGAUCUCUUAAUUCUACCUCUUACUAGACCAUAGGUUCCAACCCUUGUACAAAUCAAUCCAUCAUUUCCACCUUUGAAACAUUGUUAAUGUGGAGACUUAAGGAUUUAAAUUAAGAGAUAUAAUUUUGUAUUAAUUUGGAUUAUAUAAGAUUAGCCAACUAAUUGCAAGUAC